UGGUCGCACGGGUGUGUCCGCACAGGUGUGUCCGCACAGGUGUGUCCGCACAGGUGUGGCGGCUGUCGUACAGGUGUGACCGAUGUAUAUACAGGUGUGACCACACCUGUCACACAGGUGUGGUCACACAGUUUGGGCAGGUGCAGUCAUGCAGGUGCGGUGGCGCAGGUGCGGUGGCGCAGGGACCCAGGACUUUCCAGUGGCUCUGAAGAGUCAGCAGAAGAAGCUUUUCCCCCUCCCCUCCUCCGUGUUUUAUAGUAGAACUACUUUGCAAUAAUUUUGAUUGUGUGUUCAACACUAGCACAGAGAAUCUAUGUGAAGAGACUUGAUCAAAUGUAUGUAUAUUUAUGGUGGACAAAAAGUCAAACAGGGUCUCAAGUUUUCUCAGCUUUAAAUUCUUGGGAAAAUGUUUUUAUUUUUCAUUUGAUGAAUUUUGUUUACUUUCUGAGCCUUUAAAGUUUGUUUAAAAUGGAGAUUAUGAAUAUAUAUUAUACACAAACUGUGCAAUUUUUUAAAAAGAGAAUUUUGUACUAUAAAUGUACACUUUGCUUGUUUUUUAUUUAAAGAUGUAGACUUCCCUCAGGUGGCUGUUCGGGUGCAUUUUGCACUUAUGCAAAAAGAAAAAAAGGACAAAUUAUUACAAAAUAAAUGUUUUAACAAAGUU